UCCGUGAUAAAGUAGCAUAAUCACUCGCCAUUUAAUUGAUGGAUAGUAUGAAUGGUUGAACGAAUAUUCCACUGUCUUAGGAAGAAUUAUAAAAAAUUGAAAUAAUAGUCAAGAUGCUAUUUAAAACUGUAAGACGAAAAGACCCUAUAGAGCUUAACUAUAAUUUCCUUAUUAUAAAUGAAUAUUAAUUCUAUAACUAAGGAGAUUGGUAGUUUAGUUGGGGCGACUGCCUUCUAAAUUAAACGAAGGUAAGCAAUGUUAAUAAAAGAUUUAUUGUAUAGUUAAAUAACUUAACAAUUAUAAAAAUAGGCUAUAGUGACCCGUUUUUGUUUAGUAAAAAAGAAAACGAUCAAU
rnacentral:rRNA from 1 species